rnacentral:lncRNA from 1 species
GUAAAAAAAGAAGAAAAUUAUCAAUGAAACCUGAUGUGAGCAGCCAAGGAAUUGGUAUGAGUUGUUCUGGACCUGCAGAGACAUACUUUAUGAUCACGUCUGUACCAGCCACAUCUCAGCCCAUAUCUGAAGGCCUCAAACACCCAGAGUCACAUCAGGACAGCACAGCAGAUCCCAAAGACACUCGCUCUUUCAUUACAUCUGUCAAUCCAAUUUACCAGCCCUCAGGUAAUGAAAUGUUUAUUUUAUUAAAGUAG